UUUUAAUUGGUGAUUAACUUAACAGUAUUUAAAAUAUCAAGAUUUUCUCAAUUAUUUAAUACAUAUAAUUUUUACCUCAAGAAAUAUAUUUGUGGAGAAGACUACUAUAAACUUUUGGAUCAAAAUAACCAUUGCAGAAAAGGCAUUCAUCUUAGCACUAAUAGUUGGAGUAAUCAGGGGCAGAGCUCCAAAAUUAACAAGACUUUUUGUUCGUACACUAUUUCAUACAAUUGGUGUUCAAGACAAAAUUACUAUCGAAAAAAAAAGAACAUCUGUUCUAAAAAAAUUCAAGAGUUUUGAAAAAUCUAAACAGCGUAUACUAAAUAAAAUAAUAAAGAAAAGUAAUUUGGAUAGCAACGACAUACAAGACAUCUGCAAAAAAUUGAGGAUAAAUGAAAAGAAGAUUCAGGACCUAAUAAAAAAAGAAGAAAUGACCCCUAAAGAGAAGUAUCAAUCGAGAAUUUAUAAGCUACACACUUUGUUUAAUA